UUAUUUUCCUUAUGUAGUUUAAAUCAUAUCGAAUAUUCAGCAAAUUAACUUCUUCAGUAUUAAGCUCUUAUCCUGCUUUGAUUAAUUCUUAACAAACCUCGCCUCUUCUAAAUAUUGAACUGUCCACAUAAGAAACAUUGAUGGGGGUGGGAAAUUUUAAUUUUUCAACUUUUUUUUAUAGUGGAAGUGUUUGUUCCUCCUUGUGUAUCAACUCCAGAAUUUAUCCAUGCUGCUAUGAGGCCAGAUGUCAUUACAGAAACUGUAGUGGAGGUGUCAACUGAAGAGUCUGAACCCAUGGAUACCUCUCCUAUUCCAACAUCACCAGAUAGCCAUGAACCAAUGAAAAAGAAAAAAGUUGGCCGUAAACCAAAGACCCAGCAAUCACCAAUUUCCAAUGGGUCUCCUGAGUUAGGUAUAAAGAAGAAACCAAGAGAAGGAAAAGGAAACACAACCUAUUUGUGGGAGUUUCUUUUAGAUCUACUUCAAGAUAAAAAUACUUGUCCCAGGUAUAUUAAAUGGACUCAGAGAGAAAAAGGCAUAUUCAAGCUGGUGGAUUCAAAGGC
rnacentral:sRNA from 1 species